CAGAACGAACGCUGGCGGCAGGCUUAACACAUGCAAGUCGAACGAGAAAUAAGAGCUUGCUCUUAUGGACAGUGGCAGACGGGUGAGUAACGCGUGGCAACCUACCUUUCAGUACGGAACAACAGUUAGAAAUGACUGCUAAUACCGUAUACGUCCUCCGGGAGAAAGAUUCAUCGCUGAAAGAUGGGGCCGCGUUAGAUUAGCUAGUUGGUGAGGUAAGAGCUCACCAAGGCGACGAUCUAUAGCUGGUCUGAGAGGAUGAUCAGCCACACUGGGACUGAGACACGGCCCAGACUCCUACGGGAGGCAGCAGUGGGGAAUAUUGGACAAUGGGCGAAAGCCUGAUCCAGCCAUGCCGCGUGAAUGAUGAAGGCCUUAGGGUUGUAAAAUUCUUUCGCUAGGGAUGAUAAUGACAGUACCUAGUAAAGAAGCCCCGGCUAACUCCGUGCCAGCAGCCGCGGUAAUACGGAGGGGGCUAGCGUUGUUCGGAAUUACUGGGCGUAAAGCGUGCGUAGGCGGAAUGGAAAGUUAGAUGUGAAAUCCCAGGGCUCAACCCUGGAACUGCAUUUAAAACUCCCAUUCUAGAGUUCUGGAGAGGUAAGUGGAAUUCCUAGUGUAGAGGUGAAAUUCGUAGAUAUUAGGAGGAACACCAGAGGCGAAGGCGGCUUACUGGACAGAUACUGACGCUGAGGCACGAAAGUGUGGGGAGCAAACAGGAUUAGAUACCCUGGUAGUCCACACCGUAAACGAUGAGAGCUAGUUGUCUGCAUGCAUGCAUGUAGGUGACGCAGCUAACGCAUUAAGCUCUCCG
rnacentral:rRNA from 1 species